CAGUCGCCGCGGGAAUACGUAGGUGGCAAGCGUUGUCCGGAAUUAUUGGGCGUAAAGGGCUCGCAGGCGGUUUCUUAAGUCUGAUGUGAAAGCCCCCGGCUCAACCGGGGAGGGUCAUUGGAAACUGGGAAACUUGAGUGCAGAAGAGGAGAGUGGAAUUCCACGUGUAGCAGUGAAAUGCGUAGAGAUGUGGAGGAACACCAGUGGCGAAGGCGACUCUCUGGUCUGUAACUGACGCUGAGGAGCGAAAGCGUGGGGAGCGAACAGGAUUAGAUACCCGCGUAGUCCCUGUCUCUUAUAC
rnacentral:rRNA from 1 species